UAUGAUUAUAACAUAUAUACCUAACGUUGACCACGGAGGUUCAAUACUAGUGACGUCACAGUUUCAGAGAUGUUCCUGUAACACGUUGAGGAAACGGUUCCCAUUAACAUAGACGGACAAGACGUGGAACACAGAACUAUCGCAUCGUCGAUCGUCUUCAGAUCAUGGUGCUUUCGCCUUCACCGGUCUGUGCCUGUAGACGUUGACCACGGAGCAACAACGAACACCAGUUACCGGGGACUGAUCCUGUCAUGGAGAAGAAUAUCCGUCACGGGUUCUCGGUACCUAAGAAGAACCUUCUUACGUCGGUUUUUGCCCGAGGA